UACGUAGGGUGCGAGCGUUGUCCGGAAUUAUUGGGCGUAAAGAGCUCGUAGGCGGUUUGUCACGUCUGCUGUGAAAUCCCGAGGCUCAACCUCGGGCCUGCAGUGGGUACGGGCAGACUGGAGUGCGGUAGGGGAGAAUGGAAUUCCUGGUGUAGCGGUGGAAUGCGCAGAUAUCAGGAGGAACACCGAUGGCGAAGGCAGUUCUCUGGGCCGUAACUGACGCUGGGGAGCGAAAGCGUGGGGAGCGAACAGG
rnacentral:rRNA from 1 species